CUGCAGCCAAAUAAUCAAAGAGAAUUAACCUGACAACGUUUGGUUGCUAGGCCAACCACUCUCAUCACUCUGUUCAAACUAUAUCUCCUGCUCAAUUUUAGCCAGGAGAUAUCAUCAUGCCAGCAUGUUGUUUGGGAGAAUUAGGAUAGGAAAAAAUCUAGCCGAAGUCAAAUGAGGGUAAGAUUUGAAUAUCUAUCAAUUACACUAGUC
rnacentral:lncRNA from 1 species